rnacentral:rRNA from 1 species
GACAGAGGUGCCGAGCGUUAGGCGGAAUCACUGGGCUUAAAGCGUGUGUAGGCGGAUCUGUAAGUACCUUGUGAAAUCCCACGGCUCAACCGUGGAACUGCUUGGUAUACUGCGGGUCUUGAGCCACCUAGGGGCAAGUGGAACAAACGGUGGAGCGGUGAAAUGCGUAGAUAUCGUUUGGAACGCCAAUGGUGAAAACAGCUUGCUGGGGGUGUGCUGACGCUGAGACACGAAAGCCAGGGGAGCAAACGGG